AUGAACGGGCAAAAUUACCACAGAAUAGGCACUCUACUACCUGAAGGUAAAGACAGACCACGCUGGGCACAGUUGUACAUCUAUGACACUGAAAAUGAGGUAAGAAACAUGAUUAAGGCGUCGACGUCUGAAGAUAAAAUGGAGUCAAUAGAUGCUCACAUCGUCGAGGAACUUAAAAUAUGCUGGAUAGAGAUAAUAUACUUGCAAAAACAUUCAGAAUGGCAAGGGACAGAUUCGAAGAAGGUGACUAUCACAACAUGA
rnacentral:rRNA from 1 species